AUCGCUUCUCGGCCUUUUGGCUCAGAUCAAGUGUAAGUUUCUGUUCUUAUCAGUUUAAUAUCUGAUAGUCCUCGACAUGGGGACCAAAUAUUAAAUUGAUUUUUGGAACAAGGAGCUGGAGUAGAGGCUUGCCUUCUCCAGUUCACGCAUUGUCCUGGUAUUGCAGUGUCUCCAGGAGCAGUGCACCUCCA